UUGAUUACAAAUUUUACUUUUUGAACUCACCCUAUUACUUUAAUACCUUUCUCAUCAAGGCAUUCAAUGUAAUCAACUUUCUUUUUCUCUUGUGGAAUAGCAUUUUGUAACACAGGUUUCUUAAUAGAUUUCGCAAAACCGAAGGAAAUCUUCUUUCCUUCUUCUGCCAUUUAUUUGUUAUUUUAACACUGACUUACAGAUCAAUACACAUGUAUAUACUAGACAUAAAGAUUGAUGUCACGUGAAUCUAUGUACAUGAAUCUAAUAUCUUAUUAUACUUUAUUAAUCUACUCAAAAUUACUUGCACAUUACUAAAAUUUUAUUCCGACAAUGUAUCAAGCGCCUGAAUAAGUGACAUUAAAGUAAACAUAUAUCAAAGAGGAAAUAAGAAGAACUGACGCCUAUGGUUUUCUAUGUUACAGAGCUAGUGCUGCACCAUACGGCCAAAUGCCGAAGGUAGCUUGUGCUAGUAUAUACCUGCCUAUACGUUUCAAUGAGAAAAUCGAUAUUAUGUGUUUAUGUGAAAAUUCACAUUUCCCUAGGAGCUGUAUUUUGAUAGAUUUAAGCUUCUAAUGGAGCAUUUUAAACGUAUAGAGUAUACUAUGAAGUAGAUAGUAGUGCGGAUCAUUUUAUAUUCAUAGAAAAUUUGAAUGUAUAGAAAUGUACAAAAUGCUCAUGAUAUGCAAAAAUAUGCAAAAUAUUCAAAGUAAACCGAUCAUCAAAAAGUUUAGAAGGUGAAACAAAUUUCUUUAAUAACACCUAGAUUAAUUUUUAUUUGUUAACAAUCCCAUAUAUAACCAUAGUUUUCGCCCGGCGCAUAUACGCGCCCAUACAUGCGUUAAUAAGAUAAGAGGAAAUAAAAGACAGAUUAUCGAUAAAAUACACUAACACAUAUGUAAUACAUGGAUAUAUUACCACUCAGAUUACACAUAUUAUAUAUUAUAAGGGAAUAUGUAUACCACGUAUACAUUUAUGUAGAACGAAUAUUUCAAACUUGUUUAUAGCGCGUACGCACACAUACAUGCACGCACGCGAACAAUUUUUCGAACGAUAAUUAUAUUAAUGAUAUAUAUUAUGAUAACCAUUUAUAUUUUUUAAAAUAUGUUCUUAUGGCAUACAUAUUUAUUCCACGCUUCAUAUCUAUCCACAUCCGUAACUUUUUUCCCAUAUUGGACUUAUUUCUAGCAGCCAUGCUUGCUUACAAAGCAAUUUUAUAUCCACGCAAGAAUAUUUUUCAGUAGAUUUUAUUAUGUGGUUUACAAUAUCCAUAUUCUCUAAUAACUGGUUGCUAAGGUAUAAUUUGAACAUACCAAGUCGAGUAACUUCAUUUGGUAAUGAUACGUAUAUUUUCUUUUCAAGAAAAAGUCUGCGUAAAGCUGCAUCAAUGUCCCUAAUAAUAUAUUUACAAUAAAUAUUAUUGUUCUGUUA